rnacentral:rRNA from 1 species
UACAGAGGUCCCAAGCGUUGUUCGGAUUCACUGGCGUAAAGGGUGCGUAGGUGGCCAGGUAAGUUUGGUGUGAAAGCUCGGAGCUUAACUCCGAAAAGUCAUUGAAUACUAUCUGGCUGGAGGGUCGGAGGGGAGACUGGAAUUCUCGGUGUAGCAGUGAAAUGCGUAGAUAUCGAGAGGAACACCAGUGGCGAAGGCGAGUCUCUGGAUGACACCUGACACUGAGGCACGAAAGCUAGGGGAGCAAACAGG